GCAUCAUCUCAUUUGGAGUUCUCGCGUUUCACUUUCACACACUCUCUCAUGUGUUGAGAACUCCACACACUUACAAUAUAAUCCUUUUGUAAUAUUUUGUACGCUUAUACUUUCCUACACUCUCUCCCUACUCUUCUCGUUAGUGGCAGAUUCAGGUGCUGAUAUGAAUUGCAUCAAUGAAGGAUUAAUACCUUCUCGAUACUUUUCUAAAACUUCAUAAACCCUAAAUACGGCUGAUGGAAGUAAGCUUAUGAUAAAAUAUAAGCUUGAUAAUGGAGCAGUCUGUAAUAAGGGAAUUUGUCUUGAUAUGCCAUUUAUAACUGGAGGAGCCGUGAAGCCGACACAUGAGCUUGGAAUCGAAACCCAAGGAGGAAGUUGCACCACCUCCACCACCACCUGCCACAUAAGCCCGUACCCCCCGCUUUGUGGGGGAGGUGAUUUCUAUCCAACCCUUUUUUUUAUUUGUUGUAUAUAUGUGUUGUGUGUGUGACGUAAGUGUUUGCUUAAAAGUUUUUGUUAUUGUGGUCUUGCCGGCCUUGUUUUGCAUGUUUUGUGGCCUUGCCGGCCUUUGUGAAUGUUUUGCGUUGCUAGUAAUCUCUCUCUAAACACUUGGUCUACUUGCUCUCGAGCAAGCAAUGUCCAAGUGUGAGGAGGUGGGAUUCUUGUGUGUUGUUCUUGGUUUUCUAAGUUUUAUGUGAUGUGUUUCCUUUUCCAACAUUUUAACCAAACUUGCUUGAGGGUAAGCAAAGUCUAAGUGUGAGGAGGGGGUUUGUUUUGUUGUUCGGUCGUGUUUGUGUUGUGUCGUUUUUGUAAGGAGUUGUGUUUUAUCUUUUUCCCAAGCCUUGAUGCAUAAUUUGGUAAUGGUCCCCCUAUUGAAUCGUAGCAAAAAAAUGACUUGUUGAAUCAUAGCAAAAAAAAUGACUUGCUUUGUUUUGAAAAAUUUAUUCAAGAACUUGUGGUUUUGAUUGAAUGAAGUUGAGUGUGAUGGAAAUGUGAAGCACUUCCACUUGCGUAAAAACCCACAAAUGGUAAGGUUCAAAGCCUCAAAGUAGAACACUUUCUACAUGUAUUUGAGCGUGGAAUGACAUUGCAUUGCAUGAUUGUUGAUAUCACUUGGUCACUAUGGCAUAAAUAGAGGGCACUAGGAAAAGCCAAAUUGAGCCUUAUUCUUUGUGAUUACAUCAACCAAAAAGAGCUACCCCUAGUUGCCCCAUUGAAACCUUGAGCCUACAUUUUUUUUUAAAGUUAGAAAAUGGUUUCCCUCUUGUGCAAAAUAAAUGUGCUUAGUUGCCCCUACAUGAUCACCACAUUUUAGGAAAGAGAUAGCAAAUGUGGACAUCAAAAAACAAAAAAAAAUAUGCCUCCCUCCACCCAAAAAAGAAGAAAGUAGUGGCUACCAUGAAAAAAAAAGAAAAAGGGAAACAUAAAGAAGAAGAAAAAAAUUAGAAAAAGAAAAAGAAGAAAAAAAAGGGGAAGGAAGAAAAACAAAGAGAAAAUGACAAGGAAAGAGUGGAAAUGUAGAUCAAAUAAGAAGAAGAAGAAGAAGAAGAAGAAGAAGUGCAUCUCUACAUUUGGUUUGAUUGUGGGUGAUUGCGUUUGGAGUUUCUAAGUACCCAUUUGGAGAAUAAGCGCAAGUUUUUGUUGUACUACACUCAAUAGCUUAGGACCCCUAGGAUCUAACCGACAAUAUUUAAAUGGUCCAAAGCCCCAUUACAUCCCAUGCAAGACCCUCUUGAGCUACAUGUGAUAAAGUGAUAUCUCCUUGAUUGUAUCUUCGUCAUCAUUAUUGAGAGAAUUGUCCUUACAUUUUGAGAGGGCCAGGGAGUGAAUCUUUUGCUUGUGAUAUGUGCUUAACUAUCUUGAUGAGACCGACGGUUGGAACCACAUUGUUCGAUGAAGAAAAUUAUGUUUUAAAAAUCUGUUUUCAGCUUGGUUCUUGGGGGUAUCAUUACGCUUUUCAUACAACUUACUUGGUUUGUCUUUCAUGUGUUUCUCGAGUCGUUGUGUGUGUUUGUGUUUAGUAAAUGUCUUUGUGUUAUGUUUUGUUUUAGUUAGUGUGUGUGUGUAGAAAGUAGAGGGGAGUGACUUAAACUAGCAAUUGAGUGAAAAGUCCAACCACAUACUUGGGACAAGUAUGAUCCAAAUGUGGGGAGGUUUGAUAGGCUAGUUUUCGUCACUCGGAUUUGAUCACUUUUCGCACUUAUUAGUUGAAUAUUUGCAUAUAAAAAAAAAUUCUUUUUGGCAGGGUAUGGAUCAUUAAGUUCGGAAGCUGCUUAAUGAAGGCACGAAGAGGAAAACAUGCAAGAAAGAGGGCAAAAUGUCAUGAAAUGGAAGAAUGGGGAGGAAGAAGGCAAAGAAGACUAACUGCCCAAGCUGUUGGAUUGGCCAAUUUGAACCCGGCGGGAAAAUGAUUAAAGCCACUUCCACACACUUAUCAAGGACAAAUCCCACUUGCUACACACGCCCAUAUCUGCCCUUGAAGAGUAAAAAAGAAGGGGAAAUAUCUUUUAUUGGAGAUAUGUAUUAAAAGUACUUAACUUUCCAAGGACAACAACCACUAGUCACUCAUCACUUUCUUUAGUUUAGUUUAAUUUUAUUUCUCUCUAGAAAACUUCUCUCUUCCUUAAGAAGAGAGAUUUCAAACUAAAGGCUGCGAAGAUCAUUGUUCACCAUGGGUUGAAGUAGUAGUAAUUUAGUAGUAGUGUUUAUUUUUUUUCUAGUUGCUUGUUCUUAACGUUUGGAGUUCUUUUGCAUCAAUCUCACUCUUAGUUAUUGU